rnacentral:rRNA from 1 species
UACGUAGGGGGCGAGCGUUGUCCGGAUUCAUUGGGCGUAAAGCGCGCGUAGGCGGCUCGGUAAGUCGGGUGUGAAAUCUCGGGGCUCAACCCCGGGCGUGCAUCCGAUACUGCCGGGCUUGAGGCAGGUAGGGGAGAUCGGAAUUCCUGGUGUAGCGGUGAAAUGCGCAGAUAUCAGGAGGAACACCGGUGGCGAAGGCGGGUCUCUGGGCCGGUCCUGACGCUGAGGCGCGAAAGCUAGGGGAGCGAACAGG